UCGUCACAUAAUUCCCAGUCUCCACUCUAUCCAAUCAGAGUUCUCAAGAAAAUGAUAAAUGCUCAAAGUCGCUUCACCAAUUCUGCGGCGAGCUAAGUGAGAGUCGGGGCUUAAGAAAUGGCGGUUUCAUAAUCACAUACUCUUCUUUCAUUUCUUUCACCUCUCGGCUCUCGUUCAUUCCCCGAGACCAGUUUACUUAGCUCCAAUCCUUCUCUCGUCGGUUAUGCUUUCACAGCCACCAAUCGUCGCCGCCCAUUCAUUAUCACCUUCUCUUACAAAUCCAAAAAAGAACUCUCAGUUGAUAAGAAAAGACAGUUACUUGAACAAUACGGUCUUAAUCCGGAUGAGUUCUUAUCUGAACCUUCUCCAAAGACAAAAAAGAGAAGGGAACAAUCCAAGAC